rnacentral:lncRNA from 10 species
AUAGGGAAUCCUUUCUCCAUUGCUUGAUUUUUUUGUUUGUUGUUUUUUUUUUUUUUUUUUGAGACAUGAUAAUAACCCACCCACAAGAGGAUUCUUUUAAGCAAGGAGCCUGUGCAUAAUGGGUAGAGGAAUGAAGAGGCCUGAAAGCAAAAGCAGAGUUUGAAUCAAAUGGAACUAAGUAAACAAUUUGGGGCAAUGUAAAAUAAAAGCAAUUUAAAACAAGAGCUUUAACUGAAUUUUACAGAAGCAAACUGAAUAAAGUAGUUAGGAAAAUGGAUAUGGUGUUUAGCAAAGAAAAAAAAAAGAUACUGGCACAGAUAAAUUAGGCUUGUCACAUGUAGUUUCAAUUUUUGAUGUCUUGCUUAAAGAGAUGAGCUACACUU